rnacentral:rRNA from 1 species
GUAGGGAGUAUUGGGCAAUGGAUGCAAGUCUGACCCAGCCAUCCCGCGUGCCGGAAGAAGGCCCUCAGGGUUGUAAACGGCUUUUGACGGUGAAGAAUCGACAGGAUGCGUCCUGUUUUGACGGUAGCCGUUGAAUAAGCACCGGCUAACUCCGUGCCAGCAGCCGCGGUAAUACGGAGGGUGCGAGCGUUGUCCGGAUUUAUUGGGUUUAAAGGGUGCGUAGGCUGGAAGGUCAGUCAGCGGUGAAAAGCUGUCGCUUAACGAUAGUCUUGCCGCAGAUACUUCCUUUCUUGGAUGAGGAGGAGGCCACUGGAACGGAUGGUGUAGCGGUGAAAUGCAUAGAUAUCAUCCAGAACACCGAUUGCGAAGGCAGGUGGCUGUACCUUAAUCGACGCUGAUGCACGAAAGCAUGGGGAGCAAACAGGAUUAGAAACCCGUGUAGUCC